GAUCAAGUUAGUAAGGGCAUACGGUGAAUGCCUUGGCGCUAGGAGUCGAUGAAGGACGUGGUAAGCUGCGAUAAGCUUCGGGGAGGUGCAAGCAACCUUCGAUCCGGAGAUUUCCGAAUGGGGAAACCCGGCUGGGGUAAUGCCCAGUCACUCCUACCUGAACACAUAGGGUAGGUAGAGACAACCCAGGGAACUGAAACAUCUAAGUACCUGGAGGAAUAGAAAGUAAAU
rnacentral:ncRNA from 1 species